AAUCUAUGAUGCGGACACAAUCUAAGCAUACUUUUAAAUUUAUCCCACACAUCAUAAAGAGCUUCCAUAUCAAUCUAUUUGAAGCUAGCAAUCUAAUUUUUCAUAUG